UUUCACUAGGGGAGCUUAUAGCUGAGAGGAUGCGUCCGACCCUUGGAACCUGUUGGGUUAAUACCUGCGUAGGGAAGUGACAAAGC
rnacentral:ncRNA from 1 species